GAAACCGUGUACGUACAAGCAGUGGGAGCACGCUUAGGCGUGUGACUGCGUACCUUUUGUAUAAUGGGUCAGCGACUUAUAUUCUGUAGCAAGGUUAACCGAAUAGGGGAGCCGAAGGGAAACCGAGUCUUAACUGGGCGUUAAGUUGCAGGGUAUAGACCCGAAACCCGGUGAUCUAGCCAUGGGCAGGUUGAAGGUUGGGUAACACUAACUGGAGGACCGAACCGACUAAUGUUGAAAAAUUAGCGGAUGACUUGUGGCUGGGGGUGAAAGGCCAAUCAAACCGGGAGAUAGCUGGUUCUCCCCGAAAGCUAUUUAGGUAGCGCCUCGUGAAUUCAUCUCCGGGGGUAGAGCACUGUUUCGGCAAGGGGGUCAUCCCGACUUACCAACCCGAUGCAAACUGCGAAUACCGGAGAAUGUUAUCACGGGAGACACACGGCGGGUGCUAACGUCCGUCGUGAAGAGGGAAACAACCCAGACCGCCAGCUAAGGUCCCAAAGUCAUGGUUAAGUGGGAAACGAUGUGGGAAGGCCCAGACAGCCAGGAUGUUGGCUUAGAAGCAGCCAUCAUUUAAAGAAAGCGUAAUAGCUCACUGGUCGAGUCGGCCUGCGCGGAAGAUGUAACGGGGCUAAACCAUG
rnacentral:rRNA from 2 species